rnacentral:rRNA from 1 species
AACGAACGCUGGCGGCAGGCUUAACACAUGCAAGUCGAGCACCCCGCAAGGGGAGCGGCAGACGGGUGAGUAACGCGUGGGAAUCUACCCAUCUCUACGGAAUAACGCAUGGAAACGUGUGCUAAUACCGUAUACGUCCUUCGGGAGAAAGAUUUAUCGGAGAUGGAUGAGCCCGCGUUGGAUUAGCUAGUUGGUGGGGUAAAGGCCUACCAAGGCGACGAUCCAUAGCUGGUCUGAGAGGAUGAUCAGCCACACUGGGACUGAGACACGGCCCAGACUCCUACGGGAGGCAGCAGUGGGGAAUAUUGGACAAUGGGCGCAAGCCUGAUCCAGCCAUGCCGCGCGAGUGAUGAAGGCCCUAGGGUUGUAAAGCUCUUUCACCGGUGAAGAUAAUGACGGUAACCGGAGAAGAAGCCCCGGCUAACUUCUUUCCAGCCGCCGCUGUAACAC